rnacentral:rRNA from 1 species
GACGAACGCUGGCGGCGUGCUUAACACAUGCAAGUCGAACGGAAAGGCCCUGCUUGCAGGGUGCUCGAGUGGCGAACGGGUGAGUAACACGUGGGUGAUCUGCCCCUUACUUUGGGAUAAGCCUGGUAAACUGGGUCUAAUACUGGAUAGGACCAUGCUGUAGGUGGUGUGGUGGAAAGAUUUUUUCGGUAAGGGAUGAGCUCGCGGCCUAUCAGCUUGUUGGUGGGGUAAUGGCCUACCAAGGCGUCGACGGGUAGCCGGCCUGAGAGGGUGGACGGCCACAUUGGGACUGAGAUACGGCCCAGACUCCUACGGGAGGCAGCAGUGGGGAAUAUUGCACAAUGGGCGCAAGCCUGAUGCAGCGACGCCGCGUGGGGGAUGACGGCCUUCGGGUUGUAAACUCCUUUCAGCCAUGACGAAGCCUCUUUUGGGGUGACGGUAGUGGUAGAAGAAGCACCGGCUAACUACGUG